UCGCCGCCCCAAAGUUCCGCCGAAGUAAAGCGAUGCGCAUGCGCACUGGCGGCGGAGAGUUGGGGGGGGGGAAAUAAUUUGCGAGCGAGGCGAAGUUGUGAUGGCGGUCGCGAUGGAGACUGAACAAUUCCCUUACUUGCCUUCGGGGCUCGAUCAAGUCAAUAAGAUGAUCAAGGAGCACGGCGACCUAUUUACAGAUAACCUGUGCAGUGUUUGCAACGCCGUCCUCAUAUCAGAGUCGCAGAAGUUGGCUCACUAUCAGAGCAAGAAACAUGGAAACAAGGUGCGACGUUACCUUUCCAUCCAAAACGAGAAGGAGCCGGACUCCAAAAGGUUCAAGUCCACUUCCUCUGACGGUUUCGACGGCAACAACGGCGAGUCGGACCCGAUGAAGAUCUGCGACACUUGCAAGAUGACCUUCACCUCGGCCGUCAUGGCGCACUCUCACUACCAGGGAAAGAUCCACGCCAAGAACCUAAAACUCAAAUCCGUGGAUCCUCUGACCCUAGCGCAACAGGGCGCACCAGCACCAUCCAAGAAGAAAGCAGCAGCGCCAGCGUCGGCGGCGGCCGAGACGGCAGCAGCAACUGUCCAGGGCAGCGAGGGCAGCGACAAGGACCCCAACCGCUUUUGCUCCAUCUGCCAGGCAUCCUUCAACAACGCGCUGAUGGCCCAGCAGCACUACUCGGGCAAGAAGCACAAGAAGCAACUCACCAAGCAGGACCUGAUGAAGAUCUACGGCACGCCCGCCACACCGGCAUCUUCAGCAAAGGGCUUGCCGUGUACCCUCUGCAACAUUGAGCUCAACUCUGUGGAUCAGUACCAGUCUCACAUCAGCGGGGCCAAACAUAAGAACCAAAUGAAAAAAUCUGGCCUGAGCCCGUCCGACAGCCAGCAGUCAUCUGGGCCCCAAAACAAGCGCGCCGACGGCGACGACCAGUUUGCCGAAAACAACUACAGCGAGCAGCCCGGCAACGGCGCCUACCAAUUCCGCUCGGGCGACCACUUCGCGUCCGGGGAGGACCAGUUUGUGACGGAAGAAAACCUUUUCGAGACGGAAGAGAACUUCUUCGGCAUAGGAGGCAACAUUUUUCCCGUUGCAGACGACCAAUACAACGAAAGCAGCUAGUACGCCACCACUGACAAGUACUUCAACCGGGAGACUGGGUUUUGCGCCGGACUUUGGAGGAUUCACUCAGAAACCAGAACAAUAACAAAACCUAGCCCCCACCACAAGACCCCCUCUCCGCCAUACAAACACAAAAUAGCUUUUUCCUAAAAUAGGAGUCUCAACCCCAGUGUGACGUUUUAUUGUUUAAAACCUCUUUCUCUAUUCUAGCAACAACGAGAAAAAAAAAAAAGCUUGUGACAGCCGCGAUUGUUUUUCAGCAUGCGAUGACUUUAGAAAUACUGCCCUUGAAAAAAAUCACGAGACCUUCAAUGGAGAACCCAAAAAUCCACACGCAUCACGGCGAUAAGCUCGGUGGAUGUUAUUUCUCGUUCCAAAAUGGCUACCGUCGUCGAGCCACAGCAUAGCUUGGAAUUAUAAUUUUUAUUCAUCUCACACUUUUUUUCAUAAUUUUCACUUAAAUGCUAAAAUCAUUUUUUUUUUAAACCUUUUAUGACAAUUUAGUUCAAGAAAUAUUUACGACUCUCCUACUAGGAAGCGCGAUUACGCUCAAAUGCCGUUUUUCCACUAACGCUGGCGUCUCAAAACAAUGAAGAAAGCAGCUAGGACGAGAGUUUCUUAAAUUGGCCCUUCAUAUUGGUACGGGUGUACUUUGGAAGUAGAUGAGUGCUGCCAGGAUUUGAAUUUGAGAUGUAAAGUGAUGACAUUUUCGAUAGUUGCUACAAUUCGCUGUCUAAAAUUCACCGUCUGUGCCACCAGGCAGGGUUAGUUCAGGUUACGUGACUAAGAAAGCGUGACCGGAUUGGCUGGCUGUUGGGUUCUGACCUGAAGUGACCUUGCUCGGUGGCACAGAUGGUGAAAUUCAGACAGCGAAUUGUAGCCAGUUGAAUUGUUAACAUUGAAAAGUUACACCGAAAUACAACAAUUGAAAAUGUGAUGACUUGACAUUUCAAAUUCAAAUCCUGUGGAGACUAAUCUGCUUCCAUAGAGCGCCCUGACUUAACGUUGACGAUUGUUGAUCUCGACUGUUUUCUGAGCAGAUUUGGGGAGGAAAAAUGUCACUUGGCACAGACCGCACCACAAGAUGAUCAUUCUGAAUAUCGGUAUGUGCGUCCCCCCUGCUUGAAGAGACUGCAGGGGUUGCGAGAACCUGCUCGGAACCCUGGCUGAGCAGGUCCUAUUUCUAGCGCCAGUGGAGAAGCGGCAUUUGCACUCCUGCUUCGGAGGGGCCCCCUCGUGGGAACGACCCAAAGAUGUCAGGUGGGCUCCAUCGUGCCGCGUCCUGCUGUCAAUUUCAAUCUCACACUGGAAGUAUCGCCGUCACCGAGAAGAAAAGUAGCUCGAAGCGGCUCUUCUACUGCGGUAGUUUUUCUUGUACCUUUGUUUUUGUUCCGCUUUUUUUGUUCCAGCAAGUGAACGGUCAAUAACACACGAGUCCUGCGUUUCAUAACGUCUUGAAGUGAUGUCAAAAUAGAAAAGUGAUGUCAGUAUCAUUCAAUAGUAUUGCAUAGAGCUGAGACUAUGAGAAGCACACGGUGGCGCUAGUGCACCUCCCCAGAAGCAGCCGCCUUCGGACACUCGAUAUGCAGGGAGGGGGGCUGGGGAGGAAGGCACAAGAGGGAGAAAACAGCUGGAUCAACUGAAGGCUUCCUCUUCAGGUUUCCGGUCCCGGUCGGACUUGCCAGGUCCGUGCGCUCCCAGUCCCUCCCCGACGGUUUCGGUCCAUUGGUCACGUUGGCUAAGGGAGAUGACCCGAUGCGUGAGGAUUCGGGAAUUUUGGGAUCAUCAUUGUUAGAUUGUCGGGAAGGCCCCCAAAGCUGCAGUCAGCACGACAGUGCUCGAAAUUCUACCAAGCAACAAGUGGCCUCACUUUCCAGGAACCUUUCCAGUUUCAAAUGAGAACAUAAAGGAAGGGACCCUUUUGGCGGUCAGACAGCCGCCCAGAGGAUGUUUCUCCAGCUCCUUAUAGGAUACCCCGAGAAGACCUCCUGUUAGUUGUGAGUGAUCAGGAUUGGCUAAAAGGCCCCCCGCAAAAGAGAAGGAGGAGGAAGGAAGGAAUCAUCCGCCGCUGACCUCUGGAGAUCACAGCACUCGGAAUGAGAAUCAAAAGAGUCCGUCCAUAUUCCCAAGUUCCCACAUCCGGACUGGGAAGCAAGGCUGAGAACAGGGAACAGGUGGAUCUACAGCCUCUGUUCAGCUGGAGGCUGGGACUGGAACUUUCUCCUCUCUCAGCUGUGCUCCGGGUUCCUUUACCAGAGGUGUCAAAAGUACUCACACUACAUCUUUAAGUAGUAGGACAGAUACCUUUGUAAUCAAAAUGGUCAAAGUAGAAGCAACCCUCGCAAAUGUCCGAUUCAUUCACGAUUGAAAGCGUUUCUGUCCACAAAAAUUUAAAAUAGGGUCUAAAAUGUCAGAUAAUUCUUGAUCCUUGGGGUAUUUUGAUGAAAGUGCACCUCUGAAAUGCAAGGAAGUCACCUGUGAAGUGUUCAAACUGUUAAAAAAAAAUGCAUUGUCUCCUUUAAACUCGGUUGGUAAACUAGGUAAAAUUUGAGAUCAUUUGUGCAAAAGUUGUCUAUGUCGGAAAUAUCCCAAGUUUUUAACGACACCUUGUACUAUUGCUGCGUUGGUGGUGUUCAAGAAAACCAAUGAACUUU